rnacentral:rRNA from 1 species
GGAUAACGCACCGAAAGGUGUGCUAAUACCGCAUACGCCCCGAGGGGGAAAGCAGGGGAUCGCAAGACCUUGCGUUAUUCGAGCGGCCGACGUCUGAUUAGCUAGUUGGUGGGGUAAAGGCCUACCAAGGCGACGAUCAGUAGCGGGUCUGAGAGGAUGAUCCGCCACACUGGAACUGAGACACGGUCCAGACUCCUACGGGAGGCAGCAGUGGGGAAUUUUGGACAAUGGGGGCAACCCUGAUCCAGCCAUUCCGCGUGAGUGAAGAAGGCCUUCGGGUUGUAAAGCUCUUUCAGCUGGAACGAAACGGUACGCUCUAACAUAGCGUGCUAAUGACGGUACCGGCAGAAGAAGCACCGGCUAACUACGUGCCAGCAGCCGCGGUAAUACAUGGUGCGAGCGUUAAUCGGAAUUACUGGGCGUAAAGCGUGCGCAGGCGGAUUGUUAAGCAAGACGUGAAAUCCCCGGGCUUAACCUGGGAAUGGCGUUUUGAACUGGCAGUCUAGAGUGUGUCAGAGGGGGGUAGAAUUCCACGUGUAGCAGUGAAAUGCGUAGAGAUGUGGAGGAAUACCAAUGGCGAAGGCAGCCCCCUGGGAUAACACUGACGCUCAUGUACGAAAGCGUGGGUAGCAAACAGGAUUAGAUACCCUGGUAGUCCACGCCCUAAACGAUGUCAACUGGUUGUUGGGGGAGUGAAAUCCCUUAGUAACGAAGCUAACGCGUGAAGUUGACCGCCUGGGGAGUACGGUCGCAAGAUUAAAACUCAAAGGAAUUGACGGGGACCCGCACAAGCGGUGGAUGAUGUGGAUUAAUUCGAUGCAACGCGAAAAACCUUACCUACCCUUGACAUGUCCAGAAUCCUGCAGAGAUGCGGGAGUGCCCGAAAGGGAAUUGGAACACAGGUGCUGCAUGGCUGUCGUCAGCUCGUGUCGUGAGAUGUUGGGUUAAGUCCCGCAACGAGCGCAACCCUUAUCAUUAGUUGCUACGCAAGGGCACUCUAAUGAGACUGCCGGUGACAAACCGGAGGAAGGUGGGGAUGACGUCAAGUCCUCAUGGCCCUUAUGGGUAGGGCUUCACACGUCAUACAAUGGUCGGUACAGAGGGUUGCCAAGCCGCGAGGUGGAGCCAAUCCCAGAAAGCCGAUCGUAGUCCGGAUUGUUCUCUGCAACUCGAGAGCAUGAAGUCGGAAUCGCUAGUAAUCGCGGAUCAGCAUGUCGCGGUGAAUACGUUCCCGGGUCUUGUGCACACCGCCCGUCACACCAUGGGAGUGGAAUCUGCCAGAAGUAGGUAGCCUAACCGCAAGGAGGGCGCUUACCACGG